AGAGCUUAGACGUGGCUCAGGAGUACGCUAUCUAGUGGGUUACACAUGUAAGUCAUAUGAAGACUUCUAUUCUGUCUUCAUGGCGACCGGGUGAGUAAUAAAUAGGAAUCUUCCUAUAGGAAGGGUUGAAUGCCCAUAAUUUAAAAGAAAGGAACUUUUCCGCCUGUAGAUGAGCCUAUUUAGUAAUAGAUAGUUGGUGGUGGUAAUGGCCUACCAAGUCUAUAAUGCUUAGUUGGUUUGAGAGAACGACCAACCACAGUGGCACUGAAAUAAGGGUCACCCGAAAAAUGUUCGGCAGCAGUGAGGAAUAUUGGACAAUGAGGGCAACCUUGAUCCAGCCAACUACGAAGGGUCAUACCUAAUUCUGUAAAAAUCCUAUCGGAGAGGAGCAUAAUGAGUUAACUCUCCUAUCAGUCCCGACUAACCUCGUGCCAGCAGUCGCGGUAAUACGAGGGGGGCUAGCGUUAUCCGUCUUGAAUGGGCCUAAAGUGUCUGUAGGCUGCUUGUAAAGGUAAAAAGUAUUACAACUAGCAAGCUAGAGUGGAAUUGGGGAAUCAGGGAACUCCAGGAGUAGGGAUAGAAUCCGGUGAUCCCUGGAAGACCGCUAUGGCGAAGGCCCUAUUCUAAGUAACCACUGACGCUGAGAGACUAGAGUGUGGGGAGCGAAGAGGAUGUGCGACCAGCAAAGCUAAAAUAAACAUUGGGGUAUCAUACCUCAUUGCUUUCCAUCUGGCAAUAGCCCACCUAAAUAUGCAAGAAAGGGUAGAUUACCCUUAUUCUGGUAACGGUCUUGUGUAAAGCUUUAGAAAGUUGGGCUGUCUCCUAAGGUUAGAGAAAUCGAACCAGCGUAAACAAAGGUUGGUGAUUUGGAUGUGUAACGAGUCCUCGGUUAUACAUAGAUGGACUUAUAGAUUAUCAAUCAAAGUUGGAACCUAAGGGAGGCUAUAUGUGUUUAUUUUGGAACUGGGUAAGCCCAAUGGUUUCCUUGAGAAAGAUUUCCUAGAGGAUUUUAUCUAAAAAUCACUUUGUUCUUAGAAAGGAUUCACUUAUGAAAUAUCAAGGAGGAAUUUAAGCAAUUUUAUUUAACAGCCAGUGGGUAAAGGACAGCAUAAAAAGCAAAGGCUCUUCUGUAAUGGAAGAGAUAGGGUGUAUAACCUACAGUGAAAGCUGGCUGACUUAUGCAGGGGUGUAAAAGACGGGAAGAAUAGUUUCACAUCCUACUUAGAAGUUGUGUUCUAGAAUUGAUUAGAAAAAGAAUGCAAUUUGGUCCUAAGGUUAAUUUUAGAGCAGGAAGACAAGAAGGAAGGAAAGAUACCUAUAUUCUAUAUAUCAGCUCUAAAAAAGACCUUGAAUCUUUAAUCAAAUUCUUUAGUAAUGAUCAGAUUAUUCCUCUGCAAGGUUACAAAAAGGAGCAAUAUGAAAGAUGGCUUUCUGAAUAUACCGCUUAGAGUCUUAAUUAUUUCGUCUUUUAUGCUUGAGCCGUAUGCGGUGAAAGUCGCACGUACGGUUCUGAGGAGGGGAAAGACUGAAAGGUCCUACCUAUUCCAACUAGAUACCCUCGUAGUCCACACCUUAAACGAUGGAGGCUAUAGGUUGGGAUUCUUCCUUUAACUCAAUUUAAAGGAUAAUUCUCAUCCUAGAAGCGAAGGCAUUAAGCCUCCCGCCUGGGGAGUAUGAAGGCAACUUUGAAACCCAAACGUCUAGACGGCCUUAAAGACCAGCAGUGAAGCAUGUUGUUUAAAUCGAUACUCCGCGAAAAACCUUACCACUCCUUGUAUGUUACACAGGUGUUGCAUGGCUGUCUUGAGUUCGUGCCGCGAGGUGUCAGGUUAAUUCCGCUAACGAACGAAACCCCUCCUGUUAGUUAUACUUACUUUCAUUUUAACAUAAACUACACUAUUAAUGAGCUUCAAAAAUUGUUUCCACAAACUAAUUUAGUAGCCUAGUAGCUACAGUCUAGACUCUUUUGAAAGUCAAUCUAAUAGGGUAUGGUACUAAAAGUGCCAUUAAUUGGGGACGGCGACAAGCCCUCAUGGCCCUUAUGGAGUGGGCUAUAGUAACGUGCCACAAAAUCUUUAACAAUGGGAGACAAUGGUGUGAGCCGGAGAUAAUCCCUAACGAAAGAUAAUGGUUCGGAUUGUAGACUGAAACUCGUCUUCAUGAAGAAGGAAUUGCUAAGUAAUCUGCGCAUCAGCACGGCGCGGUGAAAAUGACUUUUAAGGCGCCCUAACUGUCCGUCAGGCGGCGGAAGUUGAAUUCGUCAGAAACUAACUAAAUUUCGUCAGCAGUUGUUGGGUAUACUCUCUUCUGUUGAAUAAAUCCCUUGUUGGUCAAGAGAAUUCGGCAACCUCUGUUAAGUCGUAGCAAGGUAGGGGUAGCGGAAGCUGCCCCUGAAACGUAUAAAUCGGCCCUUUGGGCCCCCCUCUCCCAUUAAGAUAAUGGUGAAGGUUAUUUCAUUGAAUAUUCUAUGUUAAUUAAAUAUCAAAAUUAUCCUUACAUAACAGUACUUUUAUUUGAUCUAGCUAUUUCAAGUCAAGCACAGGUUAGAAAAGCUUUAAACAAUCAGGCAAAAGUAGGUCUUACUGCAGGUAUUUAUUUUUGGAUUAACAAAGCAAAUGGUAAUUUUUAUGUGGGAUCAACCAUCAAUUUUUAUAACCGAAUAAUGAGCUACUUUUACUUAUCAGGGGCUUAUGGUAUAAUCCGAAAUGCCUUACAGAAAUAUGGGUUUGAAUCUUUUACACUAAUUUUAAUUUUCGUACCUAAUGCCUCCAAAGACCUAGUUUUGUCUCUUGAACAAUAUGUCUUGGACAAAGAUAAACCUGCUUACAAUAUUCAACCUUUAGCCAACUCUUCAGCAAAUAGACUACUUUCUGCAGAACAUAAGGCUAAAAUAGCCGCUUCUCGUAAAAGGAUUAUAUUCUCUGAGGAAACCAUAGUGAAGAUGUCCGUAUCUCAUAUGGGUGAAAGGAAUGGUAGAUUCAAUAAGGGAAUGCCUGUUUAUCUGUAUGAAGUUACCUUAACUGAGCCUGAACUAAUUGCAACUUUCCCUAAUAGAGCAAGGGCUUCAACUAUACUAGGAAUUCCUGCCUCGACUUUAUUUAAUUAUAUCAAAAGCAAAAAACACUUUAAAGCUAAUGGAAUUAACUGUAUUCUUUCUUACAAUGGAAAUUUAACAGGGAACUAAAUAAGUAAUUGUCCAUCAGGCGGGGGAAGUUGAAAUCAUCGGAAACUUUCUAAGCUUUUCUAGCAGUUUAGGGAAUUCUCUUUGCUGUUAGUAAGAGCCUCUGGGGAGUCAAGAGAUUUUGGCGACUUCUGUUAAGUUGUAGCAAAGUAGGGCUAGAGGAAUCUGGCCCUGAAAUGAAU
rnacentral:rRNA from 1 species